rnacentral:rRNA from 1 species
CCUACGGGUGGCAGCAGUGAGGAAUAUUGGUCAAUGGGCGCGAGCCUGAACCAGCCAAGUCGCGUGAAGGAUGACUGCCCUACGGGUUGUAAACUUCUUUUAUAAAGGAAUAAAGUGAGGCACGUGUGCCUUUUUGUAUGUACUUUAUGAAUAAGGAUCGGCUAACUCCGUGCCAGCAGCCGCGGUAAUACGGAGGAUGCGAGCGUUAUCCGGAUUUAUUGGGUUUAAAGGGUGCGCAGGAGGAAGAUCAAGUCAGCGGUAAAAUUGCGAGGCUCAACCUCUUCGAGCCGUUGAAACUGGUUGUCUUGAGUGAGCGAGAAGUAUGCGGAAUGCGUGGUGUAGCGGUGAAAUGCAUAGAGAUCACGCAGAACUCCGAUUGCGAAGGCAGCAUACCGGCGCUCAACUGACGUUCAUGCACGAAAGUGUGGGUAGCGAACAGGAUUAGAUACCCGGGUAGUC